GACGAACGCUGGCGGCGUGCUUAACACAUGCAAGUCGAACGAUGAAGCUGGAGCUUGCUCCGGUGGAUUAGUGGCGAACGGGUGAGUAACACGUGAGUAACCUGCCCUUGACUCUGGGAUAACUGCGGGAAACUGUAGCUAAUACCGGAUACGACCCUCGGCGGCAUCGCCAGGGGGUGGAAAGAAUUUCGGUCAAGGAUGGACUCGCGGCCUAUCAGCUAGUUGGUGAGGUAACGGCUCACCAAGGCGACGACGGGUAGCCGGCCUGAGAGGGUGACCGGCCACACUGGGACUGAGACACGGCCCAGACUCCUACGGGAGGCAGCAGUGGGGAAUAUUGCACAAUGGGCGCAAGCCUGAUUCAGCAACGCCGCGUGAGGGAUGACGGCCUUCGGGUUGUAAACCUCUUUUGGUAGGGAAGAAGCGAAAGUGACGGUACCUGCAGAAAAAGCACCGGCUAACUACGUGCCAGCCGCCGCAGUAA
rnacentral:rRNA from 1 species